GCGGGCGUCUUCCAAUCGGUCAGGAUCUCGGUCUUUCACACCGAAGACGCGGGUUCGAAACCCGCCGCCCGUA
rnacentral:tRNA from 1 species